rnacentral:lncRNA from 1 species
UCUAUUCUGAGUGUCUGCGACGAUCUGUUCUAAGGUGAGAGUAUGAGAACUUUUAUGGUCUUUUGUCUUUCACUGCUUUAUGAUAUUUUGCUUAAACCGAUGGAAAGAGUAAUAUUGUCUACUCUCACCUUAAUAUCUAGUCUAAAUGAGAGUAUUCCUGAGAAGUGAGAAGGUUUAUAAAAAAAGUUGAGAGGAUGGAAUCAGUUGGCUUGAUGUUAGAUGUGGGCCUGUGGCAACAUGUUAAUUAGUCAUCUCUGGGGUAUCAGUGAAAGAGUUGCAGUAGCUGAAUGCUGGUAAACCUUAAACAAUAUUCUAGUUUCUGGAAACACUAUGCAUGCAUUUAUGUUUAAUCUGUAUAUCAUUAUUUGAGUAAUUAAAUGAAAUUAAGGGCAGUUUGGGUGAAAGAACUGUCUGGAUUUGGUGUUAAUCCUUGUGUUUGUCUAUGUUUCAUUUGUUUCUUAUGCAUUCCCAAUACACUCAAUCCCAUUAUAAUGCUGGAUGAGCUCUGAGAUAAGCCCUUCCAAUGUCAAUUCUGGUGUUUUUCUUCCAUAAGAAUGGUAAACGUGCAGUGUGCUACCCUUCAUUCUGAUGAAAUCCAUCUGAAUCUUUCUAAUGGCUUGACCUGUCAGACCUGUUGCACUUAAAAAAUUCAGGCUGGGUUAUUACCCUGAAGGAUCUUCUCCAGUAUGGCCAUCUGGAUUUCCACCUUUGCACUGCUUGUUUGCAUGGCAGUCCCCAUCCUCCCAAUCAGUUGCUUCUACAUCCACUUUCCCAGCAUCUGUUUGCUGCUAUUGAUUUGCUGUACACUCUUGAUCUCCAAAAGAUGAGAAUUGUAUUUGCUGGUCACCCACUUUAAGAACUCCACUGAAUUCUCCAAGGCUUUCAUUUGUGACCCCAUUUUGGUCACUUGAUCCCCAGGUUGGGC